rnacentral:lncRNA from 10 species
UUCCAUUGCUCCGGCCAGACGCAUCCCCUCAGGUGAUCGAGGCCUUCACAGACCCAAAGCGGAACCGCCGCGAAAACGAUCGACAGCCGGCCACAGGACCCAGGGAAAGACGCAGAAAGAGGCUCACCAAAGACCGACCGACAUGCAAGAAAUCGCUUUCUGACGCACAGGGCACAUUCGUCCAAACACACACGCACAAGGGCACACACACACACAUAGAAACCGACACAGAGAGGGAAAGAAAUAGAGAGUGACAGACAGCGAGAGAGAAGAGAAUGGCGCACACACACACACGCACACGGUC